rnacentral:rRNA from 2 species
CUAUACAUGCAGUCGAACGAGUUCUGAUUAUUGAAAGGUGCUUGCAUCUUGAUUUAAUUUUGAACGAGUGGCGGACGGGUGAGUAACACGUGGGUAACCUGCCCUUAAGUGGGGGAUAACAUUUGGAAACAGAUGCUAAUACCGCAUAAAUCCAAGAACCGCAUGGUUCUUGGCUGAAAGAUGGCGUAAGCUAUCGCUUUUGGAUGGACCCGCGGCGUAUUAGCUAGUUGGUGAGGUAACGGCUCACCAAGGCAAUGAUACGUAGCCGAACUGAGAGGUUGAUCGGCCACAUUGGGACUGAGACACGGCCCAAACUCCUACGGGAGGCAGCAGUAGGGAAUCUUCCACAAUGGACGCAAGUCUGAUGGAGCAACGCCGCGUGAGUGAAGAAGGCUUUCGGGUCGUAAAACUCUGUUGUUGGAGAAGAAUGGUCGGCAGAGUAACUGUUGUCGGCGUGACGGUAUCCAACCAGAAAGCCACGGCUAACUACGUGCCAGCAGCCGCGGUAAUACGUAGGUGGCAAGCGUUAUCCGGAUUUAUUGGGCGUAAAGCGAGCGCAGGCGGUUUUUUAAGUCUGAUGUGAAAGCCCUCGGCUUAACCGAGGAAGUGCAUCGGAAACUGGGAAACUUGAGUGCAGAAGAGGACAGUGGAACUCCAUGUGUAGCGGUGAAAUGCGUAGAUAUAUGGAAGAACACCAGUGGCGAAGGCGGCUGUCUGGUCUGUAACUGACGCUGAGGCUCGAAAGCAUGGGUAGCGAACAGGAUUAGAUACCCUGGUAGUCCAUGCCGUAAACGAUGAAUGCUAGGUGUUGGAGGGUUUCCGCCCUUCAGUGCCGCAGCUAACGCAUUAAGCAUUCCGCCUGGGGAGUACGACCGCAAGGUUGAAACUCAAAGGAAUUGACGGGGGCCCGCACAAGCGGUGGAGCAUGUGGUUUAAUUCGAAGCAACGCGAAGAACCUUACCAGGUCUUGACAUCUUUUGAUCACCUGAGAGAUCAGGUUUCCCCUUCGGGGGCAAAAUGACAGGUGGUGCAUGGUUGUCGUCAGCUCGUGUCGUGAGAUGUUGGGUUAAGUCCCGCAACGAGCGCAACCCUUAUGACUAGUUGCCAGCAUUUAGUUGGGCACUCUAGUAAGACUGCCGGUGACAAACCGGAGGAAGGUGGGGAUGACGUCAAAUCAUCAUGCCCCUUAUGACCUGGGCUACACACGUGCUACAAUGGAUGGUACAACGAGUUGCGAGACCGCGAGGUCAAGCUAAUCUCUUAAAGCCAUUCUCAGUUCGGACUGUAGGCUGCAACUCGCCUACACGAAGUCGGAAUCGCUAGUAAUCGCGGAUCAGCACGCCGCGGUGAAUACGUUCCCGGGCCUUGUACACACCGCCCGUCACACCAUGAGAGUUUGUAACACCCGAAGCCGGUGGCGUAACCCUUUUAGGGAGCGAGCCGUCUAAGGUGGGACAAAUGAUUAGGGUGAAGUCGUA